UACGAAGGGGGCUAGCGUUGCUCGGAAUCACUGGGCGUAAAGCGCACGUAGGCGGGUUGUUAAGUCAGGGGUGAAAUCCUGGAGCUCAACUCCAGAACUGCCUUUGAUACUGGCGAUCUCGAGUCCGGGAGAGGUGAGUGGAACUGCGAGUGUAGAGGUGAAAUUCGUAGAUAUUCGCAAGAACACCAGUGGCGAAGGCGGCUCACUGGCCCGGUACUGACGCUGAGGUGCGAAAGCGUGGGGAGCGAACAGG
rnacentral:rRNA from 1 species